GGGGGCGACCUUGGUUUCGACGUGGGUUGCAAAACCAAAAGUGCAUGCAGAGCCUGAGUAAGCUCUUAAAUCACGCUCAUUAAAUAUAAAUGCAAACGAUGCAUACUUCGCGGAAGAAGCUUUAGCUGCAUAAGCUUAAACUUCUGAAGCACCGUGUGAGGCCUUAAACCCUCAUCCCGAUGUCCAAGUCUCGCUUAUUGGGUUUGUCACAUCGGUCAUAUUAGAUAAGCUAGUGUUUAUUGUCGUCUGGUCAGUAAAUGCGAAACCUAACAGACUCGCACAGUAAGGUUUUGGGAAUGGCACCUUGCUGGGUUAAACUCAAGCAAUUUUACUAAGCAUGUAGAGCUGAUGGCAGAGGGCUUGCGGACGCGGGUUCGAUUCCCGCCGCCUCCACCA
rnacentral:tmRNA from 1 species